AGCAGCCGCGGUAAUUCCAGCUCCAAUGGCGUAUAUUAAAGUUGUUGCAGUUAAAAAGCUCGUAGUUGAAUUUCGGGGUUAGUAGGUUGGUCAUGCCUCUGGUAUGUACUGGUCUCACUGAUUCCUCCUUCCUGAUGAACCUUAAUGCCAUUUAUUUGGUGUUUUGGGGAAUUUGGACUGUUACUUUGAAAAAUUAGAGUGUUUAAAGCAAGCUAACGCUUGAAUACAUUAGCAUGGAAUAAUGAAAUAGGACGUUCGAUCCUAUUUUGUUGGUUUCUAGGAUUGACGUAAUGAUUAAUAGGGAUAGUUGGGGGCAUUAGUAUUCAAUUGUCAGAGGUUGAAAUUCUUGGAUUUAUUGAAGACUAACUACUGCGAAAGCAUUUGCCAAGGAUGUUUUCAUUAAUCAAGAACGAAAGUUAGGGGAUCGAAGACGAAUCAGAUACCGUCGUAGUCUUAACCAUAAACUAUGCCGACUAGGGAUCGGAUGAUGUUAAUUUUUUAAUGACUCAU
rnacentral:rRNA from 1 species